GGAAUACAAUUUCCAGCCAGUUGGUUAAUAAAUUAUAUUCCAGACGUUUUUCAAACGAAAUAACUCUAAAAUAUGCCAUAAUCAAGUAUUGUGCAAUUAAUUCGCUCCAUUGCCAAUUUGAAUUGAUUAUGCAAACAGACCGUGACUGUAACUGGAAACCGGGAAGUUGCAAAAG